GACCUCGGUAGCUAAGUGGUCCAAAGCAGUACGACGUAAACCUGAAGAUCUGGGUUCGAAUCCCAGUCGAGUUCA